rnacentral:rRNA from 1 species
UACAGAGGGUGCAAGCGUUAAUCGGAAUUACUGGGCGUAAAGGGUGCGUAGGUGGUUAGGUAAGUUAAGUGUGAAAUCCCCGGGCUCAACCUGGGAAUUGCAUUUGUGACUGCACGGCUAGAGUGUGUCAGAGGGGGGUAGAAUUCCACGUGUAGCAGUGAAAUGCGUAGAGAUGUGGAGGAAUACCGAUGGCGAAGGCAGCCCCCUGGGAUAACACUGACGCUCAUGCACGAAAGCGUGGGGAGCAAACAGG